AGGUCAAGAAGAGAAGGGCGCACGGUGAAUGCCUGGGCACUAGAAGCCGAUGAAGGACGUGACGA
rnacentral:rRNA from 1 species